UACGGGGGGGGGCAAGCGUUUGUUCGGAAUUACUGGGCGUAAAGGGCGCGUAGGCGGCCUUCUAAGUCGGACGUGAAAUCCCUCGGCUCAACCGAGGAACUGCGUCCGAUACUGGCAGGCUGGAAUCCGGGAGAGGGAUGUGGAAUUCCAGGUGUAGCGGUGAAAUGCGUAGAUAUCUGGAGGAACACCGGUGGCGAAGGCGGCAUCCUGGACCGGUAUUGACGCUGAGGCGCGAAAGCCAGGGGAGCAAACGGGG
rnacentral:rRNA from 1 species